GAAGCGUCAGCGGCCAUCUUCCCAGGACCGGCAGGUGCAAUCCAGCCCCGGCCGAGGCAGGUCGGAUGCACCCCUUAGUCUACAUUCCUCUCUUUUUAUCCCAAGGGUCUGGAAUGGCAGAGAACGCUUGGUGUGAUGCCAAAGGUACCAGAGCAUGAUGACUAUGAAAACACAUUGAUUCCAAAGAAAUAUGUGUACUUGGGAAAUAAGAAUGGAUCUGGAUGUGCAGGAAUAAGCUCUAAUCAGAAUAGCAUCCACAUGGGUGACUCCUUGAAAACCAUUAUCUCCCAAGGCAAGUAAAAUCCAUUAGAAGAUUGGAUAAUACGCAGAUAACAUCCCAUGUAUGGCAUCUGGACCCCAGAUUGGAAAUGGAACAACUCUGCUGACAGUGACAAAAUUUAACCUCAUUAUGAUUUUCCCAAACCUAUAGCACUUCCUACCUCGAGGUUACCUCUGAAAAAGCUCCAAGGUUUCUCUCUGUUCCCAAGACAUCUAAAGAGCAUAAUUUUAAACCCAUUAAAUAGAUCAUCCAUGCAGUGAAUUCAGCAAGCUGGCAGCAUAGGCGCUUUCCACUGUUAUCCCAUCAUAAAACAUUGAUUUUUGACUACCACUCAUGGACAAACGUACUUUUAUGGGAGUCUAGAAGUCCAGUGGCGAAGUUAUAACAUACUGUUGGAGCAAAAAAAAUACAAGGCAAUUGAAGAAGGUAGGAAUAGUUUUACUUCAUCUACAUCACCCCUCUCCUAGGACAGCUCAGUUAGUUCACUGAUAAGGGAAACCUCUCAGCCCCCAGUAUCUCCCAGAGAGAAAAAUGAGUACGCAGUGCAUAAGCACCUAGCCUCCCCAGAUGUGCAGGAGAUGCCCAAGGCACCCACUUCUUCCUCAUCCCACCAAGAGCACUAUAGAGAUGGGCUCAGCUGAGAAAUUGGGAGAGGCUGGGCAGACAGCAACCAGGACUCAGAACUCUCUGGGGGACUGCAGAAGUGUUGCAGACUCCAUCAAGAAGACAACUUAUGAGCUCUUCGGGACACCUCUGCUGUGGAGGCCCCAGCUACCCUAUGGGCAAACCCACUGCUCCAUGUGCUGCAUCCCUUCCUGCCUCGUGGCUGACUCCCAGAGCAAGCAUUUGUAGCUGAAUUAUGAACACAUGCAGAAAACCUGCCCAACCCUGCAGGACUGGGAGAAAACACAGAAGCUGGAGCAUUUCAGGGAACUGCCCUGGGGAACCCCAGUGGAAGGCUCUUGACACUUGACCUGGCUUUGCCGGGUUGAGAGGAGGCAUAUACUCUUAAGAAUUCCCCCUGCAAGAGGGAAUAAGAGAUGUGAAAAUGGGCAUAUCCAUAGAAAAGGCCUGAGAGAACUUCAGACUGGGCUGACAUGUAAAGGCAUUUUUUUCCUAAAGCCAGUCAGUAAGGACUAGAGGAAGUGACUGCUGCUUCCAGCGUGAAGACAGCAGCGCAGUGUCCAAGGAACACUAAAAAUCAAGGAAACGUGACGCUGCCAAGAAAACAGUAGUUUUCAGUAACCACCUUCAAAGAAAUGGAGAUCUAUGAAUUGCCUGACAAAGAUGUCAAAAUAAUUGUUUUAAGGAAGCUAAAGAGCUAUGAGAGAACAUAGACAUCUCAACAGGAUGGGGAAAACAAUACAUGAACAAAACGAGCAGUUCCACAAAAAGAUAGAAAUUAUAAAAUAAAAGACAAAUUAUGGAGC